rnacentral:rRNA from 1 species
UACGGAGGGAGCUAGCGUUGUUCGGAAUUACUGGGCGUAAAGCGCACGUAGGCGGCUACACAAGUCAGAGGUGAAAGCCCGGGGCUCAACCCCGGAACUGCCUUUGAAACUGGGUGGCUAGAAUCUUGGAGAGGCGAGUGGAAUUCCGAGUGUAGAGGUGAAAUUAGUAGAUAUUCGGAAGAACACCAGUGGCGAAGGCGACUCGCUGGACAAGUAUUGACGCUGAGGUGCGAAAGCGUGGGGAGCAAACAGG